rnacentral:lncRNA from 1 species
CAAUGGCUGCAGUUGGAGAAACCAUCUAUGUAUUUGGUGGAAGAGAUGUUGAACACACAGAACUCAAUGAGCUCUAUUCUUUUGAUACUAAGACCAACACUUGGGCCUUGAUUUCAAGAGGAGAUAUUGGGCCUCCUCACCGGAGUUACCAUUCCGUGACAGCCGAUGACCGACAUGUGUAUGUUUUCGGCGGCUGUGGGGUCACUGGAAGGCUCAAUGAUUUAUGGGCGUUUGAUGUUGUUGAUGGCAAGUGGGUGGAAUUUCCAUCUCCCGGUGAAACUUGCAAGGGAAGAGGUGGGCCGGGCCUAACAGUUUCCCAAGGAAAAAUAUGGGUUGUUUAUGGUUUUGCGGGAAUGGAAGUCGAUGACGUGCAUUGCUUUGAUCUGGCUCAUAAAACAUGGGCCCAAGUGGAAACAGGUGGGCUCAAACCGACUGCUCGUAGUGUGUUUUCAACUUGUUUGACUGGGAAACACAUAAUUGUAUAUGGUGGGGAAAUAGACCCUAGUGAC